rnacentral:misc_RNA from 1 species
GUGAAUCAUCAAAUCUUUGAACGCAAAUUGCACUCCCUGGUAUUACGGGGAGUACGCCUGUUUGAGGGUCGUUAAAACAAAAAUCGAAGCGUCGCUCUUUUUUUUUAAGGGUGAUCGAGUUGGGAUUGAGGGGUCUAUGAAGUGUUAAUUCAUGUUAAAGUGGCUUGAAUUUGACGCAUACAG